CGCGGCCUAUCAGCUUGUUGGUGAGGUAACGGCUCACCAAGGCGAUGACGGGUAGCUGGCGUGAGAGCGCGACCAGCCACACUGGGACUGAGACACGGCCCAGACUCCUACGGAAGGCAGCAGUAGGGAAUCUUGCGCAAUGGGCGAAAGCCUGACGCAGCGACGCCGCGUGCGGGAUGACGGCCCUAGUGGUUGUAAACCGCUUUCAGCAGGGACGAAAAUGACGGUACCUGCAGAAGAAGUCCCGGCUAACUACGUGCCAGCAGCCGCGGUAAUACGUAGGGGACAAGCGUUGUCCGGAUUCAUUGGGCGUAAAGAGCUCGUAGGCGGUUCAGUAAGUUGGGUGUGAAAGCUCCGGGCUCAACCCGGAGAGGCCACUCAAUACUGCUGUGACUAGAGUCCAGUAGAGGAGCGUGGAACUCCUGGUGUAGCGGUGAAAUGCGCAGAUAUCAGGAAGAACACCGGCAGCGAAGGCGGCGCUCUGGGCUGGUACUGACGCUGAGGAGCGAAAGCGUGGGAAGCAAACAGGAUUAGAUACCCUGGUAGUCCACGCCGUAAACGAUGGGUGCUAGGUGUCGCGGGUUUUGACCCCUGCGGUGCCGUAGCUAACGCGUUAAGCACCCCGCCUGGGGAGUACGG
rnacentral:rRNA from 1 species